rnacentral:hammerhead_ribozyme from 1 species
GUACAACUGAAGAGUCCAAAACUAGGACGAAACAUCUGUCCAAUAC